CAGUAGCCGCGGUAAUACGUAGGGUGCGAGCGUUAAUCGGAAUUACUGGGCGUAAAGCGUGCGCAGGCGGUUCGUUAAGACAGAUGUGAAAUCCCCGGGCUUAACCUGGGAACUGCAUUUGUGACUGGCGAGCUAGAGUAUGGCAGAGGGGGUUAGAAUUCCACGUGUAGCAGUGAAAUGCGUAGAGAUGUGGAGGAAUACCGAUGGCGAAGGCAGCCCCCUGGGCCAAUACUGACGCUCAUGCACGAAAGCGUGGGGAGCAAACAGGAUUAGAUACCCCUGUAGUCCCUGUCUCUUAUAC
rnacentral:rRNA from 1 species